GUCGUCAGGGAUACGGGCUAAAGAUAUUGGGUUCCUAAGUAAAUAUGGCACAAAUGUUUUUUUUCCAAGUUUAAAUUAAAAAAAAAAAAAUUAAACGUCAUAAUUUACCAUAAUUCAUUAUAUAAAAGGUGGAUGUCUAACCAAUAUUCAAGGACAAUCAAUUAAUAUCAUGAACCAUAGAAAAACAAGAAUGUGUCGUAAGUACAUGGAUGCCCC
rnacentral:lncRNA from 1 species